rnacentral:rRNA from 1 species
AGCAGCCGCGGUAAUUCCAGCUCCAAUAGCGUAUAUUAAAGUUGUUGCAGUUAAAAAGCUCGUAGUUGAAUUUCGGGGUUAGUAGGUUGGUCAUGCCUCUGGUAUGUACUGGUCUCACUGAUUCCUACCUUCUGACGAACCACGAUGUCAUUAAUUUGGUGUCGCGGGAAAUCAGGACUGUUACUUUGAAAAAAUUGAGUGUUUAAAGCAGGCUCGCGCUUGAAUACAUUAGCAUGGAAUAAUGAAAUAGGACGUUUGAUUCUAUUUUGUUGGUUUCUAGGAUCGACGUAAUGAUUAAUAGGGAUAGUUGGGGGCAUUAGUAUUCAAUUGUCAGAGGUGAAAUUCUUGGAUUUAUUGGAGACUAACUACUGCGAAAGCAUUUGCCAAGGAUGUUCUCAUUAAUCAAGAACGAAAGUUA